GCCCUCUUUUCUAGGAUCCUUACGCAUACUACUAAGUGGUCUGAUAAAGAAUAUGAGCGCAACUUUGUCUUCAAUAUUGGUUAUAAGCAUGGAUACAAUUUCAAAUACAUGAGCCGCAUAUGGACUAAAACCCUUAACUGCUUCUCCCAUGUUCGAACUCCGAACCCCGCCCCUAAUUCGAUCGACCGGCGUAUAUUUGUUACGUUACAGUAUGAUACAUGUGUGCACCGUACUCUUACCAAAGCCCUAAGACAUACUAGCUCUAGGAUACUUAAUAAACGGGGCCCCACUGUUUUUCAAUCAAUUCGAAAUGAUAAAGAUCAUAUACCCCCUAGUAAGGGACCGGGUAUAUAUACUGUCCCUAUGUGCAGUAGUGAUGGGUGCUCUGGUGG
rnacentral:lncRNA from 1 species